rnacentral:rRNA from 1 species
AGUGAACGCUGGCGGUAGGCCUAACACAUGCAAGUCGAACGGCAGCACAGUAAGAGCUUGCUCUUACGGGUGGCGAGUGGCGGACGGGUGAGGAAUACAUCGGAAUCUACUUUUUCGUGGGGAUAACGUUGGGAAACUUACGCUCAUACCGCAUACGACCUACGGGUGAAAGCAGGGGAUCUUCGGACCUUGCGCGAUUGAAUGAGCCGAUGUCGGAUUAGCUAGUUGGCGGGGUAAAGGCCCACCAAGGCGACGAUCCGUAGCUGGUCUGAGAGGAUGAUCAGCCACACUGGAACUGAGACACGGUCCAGACUCCUACGGGAGGCAGCAGUGGGGAAUAUUGGACAAUGGGCGCAAGCCUGAUCCAGCCAUACCGCGUGGGUGAAGAAGGCCUUCGGGUUGUAAAGCCCUUUUGUUGGGAAAGAAAAGCAGCAGGUUAAUACCCCGCUGUUCUGACGGUACCUAAAGAAUAAGCACCGGCUAACUUCGUG